AUGGCGCGAGGCGUGGCGGCAGCGGUGGCGGCGUUGGGGGUCGUGGCGGUGCUCUUGACCGCCGCCGCGGCGAAGGUCUGCACGAACACGUUCCCGUCGUCGGAUUCGGUGGCGACCCACGCGGAGCGCGCGGCGGGGCAGCUGCGGCUGCCUGCCGGCCCCGCCGCCCGUGGCCACGGGCACGGGCACGACCACGAGCAGCACCUCACCCCGACCGACGAGUCCGCCUGGAUGGAGCUCAUGCCGCGGAGGCUCCUAGGCGGCGGCGGCGGCAGCACCCCGCCGCGCGAGGCGUUCGACUGGCUGAUGCUCUAUCGCAAGCUCCGGGGCGGCGGCGCCGCCGCCGUGGACGGCCCCGCGGGUCCGUUCCUCUCGGAGGCGUCGCUGCACGACGUGCGGCUCCAGCCGGGGACCGUGUACUGGCAGGCCCAGCAGACCAACCUGGAGUACCUGCUCCUCCUGGACGCCGACCGCCUCGUCUGGAGCUUCCGCACGCAGGCCGGCCUGACGGCGACCGGCACGCCCUACGGCGGGUGGGAGGGGCCCAACGUCGAGCUCCGGGGACACUUCGUCGGGCACUACCUGAGCGCCACGGCCAAGAUGUGGGCGAGUACGCACAAUGACACCCUCCGUGCCAAGAUGUCGUCCGUCGUCGACGUGCUAUACGACUGCCAGAAGAAGAUGGGCACAGGGUACCUGUCGGCCUUCCCGUCGGAGUUCUUCGACCGCGCUGAGGCCCUCACUACUGUUUGGGCUCCUUACUACACAAUUCACAAGAUUAUGCAAGGGCUUCUUGAUCAGUAUACAGUGGCUGGAAACUCCAAGGCCCUUGAGAUGGUUGUGGAGAUGGCUAACUACUUCAGUGACCGGGUGAAGAAUGUCAUUCAGAAAUACAGCAUCGAGAGGCACUGGGCAUCGCUCAAUGAGGAGACUGGGGGCAUGAAUGACGUGCUAUACCAGCUCUACACAAUAACGGAUGAUCUGAAGCAUUUGACUCUGGCCCACCUCUUUGACAAACCGUGCUUUCUCGGUCUGCUUGCAGUCCAGGCUGACAGUAUUUCAGGCUUCCAUUCCAAUACGCACAUUCCAGUUGUCGUUGGUGCGCAAAUGAGAUAUGAAGUUACCGGCGAUGUUAUUUACAAGCAAAUUGCAACAUCCUUUAUGGACAUGAUAAAUUCUUCUCAUAGCUACGCAACUGGUGGGACAUCUGCCGGCGAAUUCUGGUCUGAUCCAAAGCGUUUAGCUGCGACUCUGAGUGCUGAAAACGCGGAAUCUUGCACUACCUACAAUAUGCUCAAGGUUUCCCGCAACUUAUUCAGAUGGACAAAGGAAAUAGCAUAUGCGGACUAUUAUGAAAGGGCACUGAUAAAUGGUGUGUUAAGCAUCCAGAGAGGGACGGAUCCCGGAGUGAUGAUUUACAUGCUACCCCAGGCACCUGGACGGUCUAAAGCAGUAAGCUAUCAUGGAUGGGGAACCAAGUAUGAUUCGUUCUGGUGCUGCUAUGGAACAGGGAUCGAAUCCUUUUCGAAACUUGGCGACUCUAUUUACUUUGAGGAGAAAGGAGAGACACCAGCACUCAGCAUCAUUCAGUACAUACCAAGCACUUUCAACUGGAAAACAGCCGGGGUUACUGUAACCCAAGAACUCGAGCCCCUCAGUUCCUUGGAUAUGAACCUUCAAGUUUCGCUCUCCUUUUCUGGAAAGAAUGGUCAGUCUGCUACAUUGAAUGUGAGAAUACCAACAUGGACAUCUGCCAGUGGUGCGAAAGCAACUUUAAAUGGCAAAGAUUUGGGAUCAGUAACUCCAGGCUCUUUACUCUCAGUCACCAAACAGUGGAACUCAAAUGAUCACUUAUCACUGCAAUUCCCAAUUGCCCUAAGGACCGAAGCAAUCAAAGAUGACCGGCCGGAGUAUGCAUCUCUUCUAGCAAUUCUAUUCGGGCCAUUCGUUCUUGCGGGUCUCUCCUCCGGUGAUUGGGAUGCAAAAACUGGCAGUGCUGUUUCAGAUUGGAUCACUGCAGUUCCUUCGUCGCACAACUCACAGCUGAUGACCUUCACACAAGAAUCAAGUGGGAAGACAUUCGUCCUGUCAAGCUCAAACAGCUCCCUGACAAUGCAAGAACGGCCUGCAGUCGAUGGCACAGACACCGCCGUCCACGCGACAUUCAGGGUGCAUCCUCAGGACGCAGCAAGGCUGCACGGCACCCACGGCGCAGCCCUGGAAGACACCUCUGUGCAGAUCGAGCCAUUCGACAUGCCAGGAACGGUGAUCACCAACGACCUCACCUUGUCCGCACAAAAGAGCGCCGGUUCCUUCUUCAACAUCGUACCCGGGCUCGACGGGAAGCCAAACUCGGUUUCGCUCGAGCUCGGGACCAAACCAGGGUGCUUCUUGGUGUCUGGGGCAGAUUACUCUGCCGGGACAAAGAUCCAGGUCAGCUGCAAGAGUUCUGUCCAGAGCAUCGGCGGGAUACUCGAGCAGGCGGCAAGCUUUGCACAGGCCGCUCCGCUGAGGCAGUACCACCCAAUAAGCUUCGUCGCCAAGGGGGUGAAGAGGAACUUCCUCCUGGAGCCGUUGUACAGCCUGAGGGACGAAUUCUACACGGUUUACUUCAACCUUGCGGCCUGA
rnacentral:rRNA from 1 species